GGUCCCUUAGCUCAGCAGGAUAGAGCAGCAACCUUCUAAGUCGCUGGCCAUCGGUCCAAUCCCAUAGGACUA
rnacentral:tRNA from 1 species